rnacentral:misc_RNA from 1 species
UCGUAACAAGGUUUCCGUAGGUGAACCUGCGGAAGGAUCAUUACUGAUUUGCUUAAUUGCACCACAUGUGUUUUUCUUUGAAACAAACUUGCUUUGGCGGUGGGCCCAGCCUGCCGCCAGAGGUCUAAACUUACAACCAAUUUUUUAUCAACUUGUCACACCAGAUUAUUACUAAUAGUCAAAACUUUCAACAACGGAUCUCUUGGUUCUCGCAUCGAUGAAGAACGCAGCGAAAUGCGAUACGUAAUAUGAAUUGCAGAUAUUCGUGAAUCAUCGAAUCUUUGAACGCACAUUGCGCCCUCUGGUAUUCCGGAGGGCAUGCCUGUUUGAGCGUCGUUUCUCCCUCAAACCGCUGGGUUUGGUGUUGAGCAAUACGACUUGGGUUUGCUUGAAAGACGGUAGUGGUAAGGCGGGAUCGCUUUGACAAUGGCUUAGGUCUAACCAAAAACAUUGCUUGCGGCGGUAACGUCCACCACGUAUAUCUUCAAACUUUGACCUCAAAUCAGGUAGGACUACCCGCUGAACUUAAGCAUAUCAAUAAGCGGAGGAAAAGAAACCAACAGGGAUUGCCUCAGUAGCGGCGAGUGAAGCGGCAAAAGCUCAAAUUUGAAAUCUGGCGUCUUUGGCGUCCGAGUUGUAAUUUGAAGAAGGUAUCUUUG